rnacentral:rRNA from 1 species
GAUGAACGCUAGCUACAGGCUUAACACAUGCAAGUCGAGGGAAACGAUAUUGGAAGCUUGCUUCCGAUAGGCGUCGACCGGCGCACGGGUGAGUAACGCGUAUCCAACCUGCCCACCACUUGGGGAUAACCUUGCGAAAGUAAGGCUAAUACCCAAUGAUAUCUCAAGAAGACAUCUGAAAGGGAUUAAAGAUUUAUCGGUGAUGGAUGGGGAUGCGUCUGAUUAGCUUGUUGGCGGGGUAACGGCCCACCAAGGCGACGAUCAGUAGGGGUUCUGAGAGGAAGGUCCCCCACAUUGGAACUGAGACACGGUCCAAACUCCUACGGGAGGUAGCAGUGAGGAAUAUUGGUCAAUGGGCGAGAGCCUGAGCCAGCCAAGUAGCGUGCAGGAUGACGGCCCUAUGGGUUGUAAACUGCUUUUAUAAGGGAAUAAAGUGAGCCUCGUGAGGCUUUUUGCAUGUACCUUAUGAAUAAGGACCGGCUAAUUCCGUGCCAGCAGCCGCGGUAA